GGAAUAAUAUAUAGCCCCCCGUGGUACUAUAUUAAAAGUGGGUUUCGGCUAACACUUACAGAUGGGCCCGCGGCGCAUUAGCUAGUUGGUGAGGUAACGGCUCACCAAGGCAACGAUGCGUACCCGACCUGAGAGGGUGAUCGGCCACACUGGGACUGAGACACGGCCCAGACUCCUACGGGAGGCAGCAGUAGGGAAUCUUCCACAAUGGACGAAAGUCUGAUGGAGCAACGCCGCGUGAGCGAUGAAGGCCUUCGGGUCGUAAAGCUCUGUUGUUAGGGAAGAACAAGUGCGAGAGUAACUGCUCGCACCUUGACGGUACCUAACCAGAAAGCCACGGCUAACUACGUGCCAGCAGCCGCGGUAAUACGUAGGUGGCAAGCGUUGUCCGGAAUUAUUGGGCGUAAAGCGCGCGCAGGCGGUUUCUUAAGUCUGAUGUGAAAGCCCACGGCUCAACCGUGGAGGGUCAUUGGAAACUGGGAGACUUGAGUGCAGAAGAGGAGAGUGGAAUUCCACGUGU
rnacentral:rRNA from 1 species